UCGGGUUUUCCCGAUCUAGCCACCCUAUCGUAUCAAGAUAAUCAACCGACAGCAAUAAAAAGUGAAACCGAAACUAGGUCUAGGAGAAAGAAAAAGUUGCUUCCCUUGUUCAAUUGUUGUGGUUUAGGUAGGAACAGAGAGUCCGACAACAGAACUAACGAGAAAAGAGUUCGCAUAAGAAAAUCCAGAUCCUCGUGUUGCCACUUUUGUUGCAGAAAGAAAUCCAGGGAUAUAGUGAACGACGCUGAUGUAGUCAAUGACCGAACCUCGUUUCCAAUUCUAACACCAAUUAAUCCUGUGAACGGUAAUGAAGUGAUCAUUGUCCAGGAAGUACCGGUCA
rnacentral:sRNA from 1 species